GAUGAACGCUAGCGGCAGGCCUAAUACAUGCAAGUCGAACGGGAUUGCGGUAGUAGCUUCCUCCUACUGCAUGAGAGUGGCGCACGGGUGCGUAACGCGUGAGCAACCUACCCAUAUCAGGGGGAUAGCCCGGCGAAAGUCGGAUUAACACCGCAUCACAUCAACAGUUCGCAUGUUCAGUUGAUUAACUAUUUAUAGUAUAUGGAUGGGCUCGCGUGACAUUAGCUAGUUGGUAGGGUAACGGCUUACCAAGGCAACGAUGUCUAGGGGCUCUGAGAGGAGAAUCCCCCACACUGGUACUGAGACACGGACCAGAAACCUACGGGAGGCAGCAGUAAGGAAGAUUGGUCAAUGGGCGCAAGCCUGAACCAGCCAUGCCGCGUGCAGGAGGACUGCCCUAUGGGUUGUAAACUGCUUUUAUCAGGGAAUAAACCCCUUUACGAGUAGAGGGUUGAAUGUACCUGAAGAAUAAGAAUCGGCUAACUCCGUG
rnacentral:rRNA from 1 species